CGGCCCACGUGUCCGGAAGAAGCUCCUCCUGAUCGGCUGGUGUUUCCCGACGGAGCUCCCCUGAAGGAAAACGCAGCGGCAGGUUGCAGAAACUUGAGCCCGGCCGCUGCGACAGGAGGGCCGGCGGGCUGGCCGCAGGCUGAGCCCCUGCAGCUGAAACAUGGGCCUCCUGGCGAGGCUGCGGAAGGAGUGGUUCAUCAUCGGGAUAGUGCUGGUCAUCCUGUCGGCCAAACUGCAGCCCAGUGUCGGUGUUAAAGGAGGUCCAUUAAAGCCAGAGAUAACCAUUGCCUACGUCGCUGUUUCCCUCAUCUUCUUCAACAGUGGCCUGUCGCUGAAAACGGAGGAGCUGACGAGCGCGUUGCUUCAUGUCCGCCUCCACCUCUUCGUCCAGUCCUUCACACUGAUUUUCUUCCCCCUCGCCGUCUGGCUGCUGCUUCAGGUCCUCACGCUGACCACCAUCGACCAGUGGCUGCUAAAAGGGUUACAGACGGUGAGCUGCAUGCCCCCUCCGGUCUCAUCCGCCGUUAUUCUCACCAAAGCUGUCGGAGGCAACGAGGCCGCUGCCAUCUUUAACUCCGCCUUCGGAAGCUUCCUGGGGAUCGUGGUGACUCCGUUGCUGCUGCUGCUCUUUCUUGGAUCUUCAUCCUCUGUUCCCUUCACCUCCAUCUUCUCUCAGCUCUUCAUGACAGUCGUCGUUCCCCUGAUCCUGGGUCAGGCGUGCCGCGGUUUUCUUAGGGAGUUCCUGGAGCGACGAAGGCCUCCGUUCAGCGCCAUCAGCAGCGCCGUCCUCCUCAUGAUCAUCUACACCACUUUCUGCGACACCUUCAGCAACCCCAACAUCGAGCUGGACCCCACCAGCCUGCUGCUGGUCGUCCUCAUCAUUUUCUCCAUCCAGGUCAGCUUCAUGCUGCUCACAUUUGGCAUUUCCACCAGGUCUGGAUCCAGAUUCAGCCCAGCCGACACCGUCGCCAUCAUGUUCUGCUCCACGCACAAGUCUCUCACUCUGGGCAUUCCCAUGCUGAAGAUCGUUUUCGAAGGCUACGAGCACCUGUCUCUGAUCUCAGUCCCGUUGCUGAUCUACCACCCGGCCCAGAUCCUGCUCGGCUCCAUCCUGGUGCCGACGAUCCGGAGCUGGAUGGCAAGCCGACAGAAGACUAGUCUGUUGUUGAGAUAGGGCCACGUUCCAACACCUCUGUACCCUCUGACAGGUGGCGCCAUUUAGUCAAGCUUAAGCCCUUCAAGAAGCAACCACUGCUGUAAACACGUCUUCAAUUGUUUUUUAAAGCAAUUAAUCAAAAGCCAGAGUAUUUCAAAUCUAAACUGUAAAAUCCUCUAUCGAAACCUUUCACCUCUCAUAAUUUUGUCAGAAUCCUUCAUUUGUCGCUUAGUGGGAUAAUUGGCAUUAAUUUCUGCAGCCAAAAUACAGGUUAGAAAGUUUGUACAAAAUGUUCCCAAACAUUAACAUAAGGAAAUUAAAUAUAGAAAUACACAAAUUUAAAAAAUGUAAAAACUAUUAUAUAUUAACAAACAAGAUGAUAAUUCUUUAGGGAAUAAAAAACGAAUUAGAAGUAAUGUACAACAGUAACAGUAUUUAAAACCUUUAUCUUUAUCUGUGAUAAACUGGAUCGGGGGCUUGGCUCUAUUUUAGGUUGGUUCCAGUUCUAAACCGGUACUGGAAAUGGUUCUACAGUGCAGAUAAAAAGGGAUCAAACUGUCAAACCUGCAGCCCAUCUGAUGGGUCUCGGAGCGGCGAAAGGACACAGCUGCCAAAAAGUGCCUUUUUACGACCAACAACAACCAGGACCUCCUCAUGGCAGAGCGGCAUUGAGUGCCCGCCUUGAUAGCCUGUUUCUAUUUCCUACAUUAACAAAAAAAAAACUCACAUUUGCACCAUUUAUAUUGUUUUAUAUUUAAAUGAAAUGUGUUUUAUUUUUUAUAUCUUGAACACAGAAAAAAAAACAAUCCUGGGGGGAGAAAAGGAGUAUUUUGAGGAACCAAGUGGGCGGGGUUUCUGGGACCAGUUCUUCCAGGUGUCACUGCCAGCAAUUGUAAAUGUUUUUGCUCAACUUACUGCAGGAUUGUGAUGUCUAAUAUACAAAGUAACACCUACA